rnacentral:rRNA from 1 species
GACGAACGCUGGCGGCGUGCUUAACACAUGCAAGUCGAACGAAGUGGCGAACGGGUGAGUAAUGCGUAAUCAACCUGCCCUUCAGAGGGGGACAACAGUUGAAAACGACUGCUAAUACCGCAUACUGAAGGGAGGGAUUGCGGCUGAUUAGCUAGUUGGAGGGGUAACGGCCCACCAAGGCGAAGAUCAGUAGCCGGUCUGAUGGGAUGAACGGCCCAAUGGGGAACGAGACACGGCCCAGGUCCCUAAGGGAGGCAGCAGUUGGGAAUUUUCCGCAAUGGAGGAAAGUCUGACGGCGCAACGCCGCGGGAGUGAUGACGGCCUUCGGGUUGUAAAGCUCUGUUAAUCGGGACGCGGUACCGGAAUAGAAAGCCACGGCUAACUCCGUGCCAGCAGCCGCGGUAAUUC